rnacentral:rRNA from 1 species
CCUACGGGAGGCAGCAGUAGGGAAUAUUGGGCAAUGGGCGGAAGCCUGACCCAGCCAUGCCGCGUGCAGGAAGACGGUCCUCUGGAUUGUAAACUGCUUUUAUCAGGGAAGAAAAAGUGCCUGCGGGCAAAAUUGACGGUACCUGAAGAAUAAGCCACGGCUAACUACGUGCCAGCAGCCGCGGUAAUACGUAGGUGGCAAGCGUUGUCCGGAUUUAUUGGGUUUAAAGGGUGCGUAGGUGGGAGAUUAAGUCAGUGGUAAAAGGCGGCAGCUUAACUGUUAGCGUGCCAUUGAUACUGGUUUUCUUGAGUAAAGUAGAGGUAAACGGAAUUGACAGUGUAGCGGUGAAAUGCAUAGAUAUUGUCAAGAACUCCAAUUGCGAAGGCAGUUUACUGGACUUUCACUGACACUGAGGCACGAAAGUGUGGGGAUCAAACAGGAUUAGAUACCCUGGUAGUCCACACUGUAAACGAUGCUUACUCGUUGUUGGUUUUUACGGAAUUCUAGCGCGUAACGGAACCGGUAACGUAAGUAAGACCGACCGUCGGGUAGGUACGGCCGGCCGACGGUACGAACGUACGAAACGGAAGUAGACGGACGUGAGACGUGCCGACGGACGACGACGAGGGAGGUAGG